rnacentral:tRNA from 1 species
ACCUUCGUGGUAUAACGGUAGCACAUUCGGCGCGUAAUCGAGAUGUCCAGGUUUGAGUCUUGGCGAGGGCA